rnacentral:rRNA from 1 species
UACGGCGAGUGAGCGGCAACAGCUCAAAUUUGAAAGCUAGCCUUCGGGUUCGCAUUGUAAUUUGUAGAGGAUGAUUUGGGGAAGCCGCCUGUCUAAGUUCCUUGGAACAGGACGUCAUAGAGGUGAGAAUCCCGUAUGUGACAGGAAAUGGCACCCUAUGUAAAUCUCCUUCGACGAGUCGAGUUGUUUGGGAAUGCAGCUCUAAAUGGGAGGUAAAUUUCUUCUAAAGCUAAAUAUUGGCGAGAGACCGAUAGCGCACAAGUAGAGUGAUCGAAAGAUGAAAAGCACUUUGGAAAGAGAGUUAAAAAGCACGUGAAAUUGUUGAAAGGGAAGCGCUUGCAAUCAGACUUGUUUAAACUGUUCGGCCGGUCUUCUGACCGGUUUACUCAGUUUGGACAGGCCAGCAUCAGUUUCGGCGGCCGGAUAAAGGCUCUGGGAAUGUGGCCUCCACUUCGGUGGAGGUGUUAUAGCCCAGGGUGUAAUACGGCCAGCCGGGACUGAGGUCCGCGCUUCGGCUAGGAUGCUGGCGUAAUGGUUGUAAGCGACCCGUCUUGAACCACGGACCAAA